ensembl:misc_RNA Metazoa_SRP Metazoan signal recognition particle RNA
GCCGGGCGUGGUGGCGUGCGCCUGUAGUCCUAGCUACUCGGGAGGCUGAGGCAGAAGAAUCGCUUGAACCCGGGAGGUAGAGGUUGCAGUGAGCUGAGAUUGUGCCACUGCACUCCAGCCUGGGUGACAGAGUGAGAUUUCGUCUCAA